CAUUUUUCUAAAAAUCUGUUCAAUCAGCUCCUUUUACUAAUUUAAUUUAUUUUCUAAUUUCAAAUAAUCAGUGCAGCAUGGAAUCAAAUCAUUGAAAUUUCGUUAUCGAGACAACUUAAUCUCCUGAUACCUGAUUCUCGACAGCUUCAUAUAAAAAUAAUACGGAGCAAGCAGAAAACCUUUAAAUCACGGAGCAAGCAGAAAACCUUUAAAUCACGGAGCAAGCAAAAGACCUUCAUGAUGUGAAACUAGAGCUGAUAGUGUUGGCAUCAUUCACCUGAACAUCAUAUCUGUUAGUGAACUGUUUCAGAUACCAGUUAUCUAACAGAAACAUAGUAAAGAGAGAAGGAUGAUGUCAUCUAUAAAGUGCACUCACCUAGUCCGCCAAACUCGUUCUUCACAAUAUCCUUGAGUUGAGCAACUUCCAAGCUUUGCCACAGGCGAUCGUCGGAGUACUUCCCUUCUAAAUCCAGGACAUGUUAUGAUGGGUGAAACGAACCUGACAGUUCCACUGAAUAGUAUGACGUCUUGCGGUAUGACAGCUAGCUGGGACCGCAGUUGACAGAGAGGCACCGCGGUCAGGUUGACUCCGUCUAUCAAGAUGGCGCCGUCACUGACCGGAACCACGCCCAGGAGUGACAUCACCAGUGAUGACUUGCCACUGCCUGUACGGCCGCACACUCCCACCUUUCAAUUAUAAUUCUCAGUGGGCUCUGCCGUGGUGCGUGAGACCCUCUCGACGGCUCCCAUGCACGCCUCCACGUCCGAGAGGAACUUGACGACCCAGUUGAGGUAGAUGGGCACGAGGAGGGUGUAGUUGACCGCCAGGCCGACCAGCGCCGGUGACACCGGGAACAGGGAGGCUGUCACGCACGACACCACCAUCGCCAGCAACACUAUCAUUGCGCCCAGUAUCGGUUGAAAAUCGGCUGAUGAGUGUACCCAAAGGAGUGCACUGAAAGUGUUGCAGCGGCACUCGGAGCAACUGUUGCAGCAUGUUGCGAUGCAAAGUGUCGCGGGCACGUGACGCACAAAACUGCCCCACUCCGUUGGAGAGCAGAGACAGCACCACUGACACCAGAGACAGUCCCGUGUACACCAGCAGGUGAGAUCACAGCUUACUUGGUCAUUGGACGAGUUGUGGCUGGCCCAAUUGGACAACCAGAAAUCGGUGCCGACGCGAAGUCCCUGCCAAGCGACAGUGGAGAUGAGAUAAGCGACGCACAGCAUCUUACCGCAGGCACUCGCGUAGGUGGCGUACACUCGAUCUGCUAUCUCACCGUAGGCUCGCUCUUCUUGGCUCAGAUUUGAUUUGAUUUGCUGAUGACUUACUGAUGAGCGCCCAGUACAGAGAAUCCUGAUCAAGUCGUUUCAGCUCAUCUCCGCGUGUCUUCAGUAUGCGACUGCAGAAAGAAUCCUCCCAAGCGUGCAGCUUCACCAGUCGUAUGCCUUGCAAUACCUCAUUGGUUUGCCAUAGACGCCGGUCAGUACACUCCUAAAAAGUUAAUACGAUUAAAUACUCGUAUUACAAGGUGCUGAUAUAUUCGAAUUUGAACGAAGACAAAUCUAAAUAACCAGCCGCCUUACAAUCAAAAUCUGACAAUGCUUGUUGAAAAUAAUAGUAGUUGGCGAAAGAAGGGAAAAGCUGGAUAAAAUGCAUUCCGCCUCUCACAACAGUGGCUUUAGUUGGUGAAAAGUCAUGUCGGGUGUUUCGUCUUAAUCCAGUAAUCUAACUUAAUCCGAAUAGUCCAAUGAUCCUAUGCAAUAAUGUUAGGAAAAUUGCGGUGAUUGGUGAGCCCAUUAUAGAUUUCAAUAGGCUAAAUACUUCAAAUCAUGAGAUACUUAUAUAUUUUUGAACAAGGGACUUGAAAAUUUUACUUACUGUGAUCUUCUUAGUGUUAGUGGACAUCCACUUGCCAAUGAUGAACUGUAGUGGAGUGAGAAGAGCUACACAUGACACCGCUCCAAUCACAGCACUGAUACCCAGUUGACGAUACACCAACCAAAUUAGGAUGAUCACCUGGAAAGUAUUUCAAUCUGUGUGUAAAGUGUAAAAAUAAUAAUUCAUUCACAAUAGUUGAGUACAGUAUCAAAUGUGUGUACAUUACCAUUCAUCAAUGAUAACAUCGACACCGCACUAACAUCCACUGAGCAGUUGAUUAUACACUAACCAGAUUAGGAUGAUCACCUGUGAAUUAUUUUAUUUGUUAGUUAUCCAUUUAAAAUAAUCAAAUAUAUCAAAAGUUUUUGUACUUUACCCUUCAUCAAUCCUUUCCGUCAUUCAUUAUCUAUACUAUAAUAAUGGAAAUAACAGGCUUAUACACGUACGGGUUAGGAAAUUCACGAAUGACG